rnacentral:rRNA from 1 species
AUGAGUUGUCUAAGUUGGAAUUGCCGGGGGCUUGGGAACCCCGAGGCAGUUCGAGAGCUUCACAAGGUAGUGAAGCAAGAAGGGCCUGCCUUAGUUUUUGUUAUGGAGAUAAAGAUUAGGGUGAAGAGGGUGGAAGAUCUACGUCAUACUCUUGGUUUGGCAGGUUGUUUUGCAGUGGAUAGUGUUGGUCUCAGUGAUGGAGUUGGACUUUUUUGGUCCAAUGAAGUCGUUGUUGAGUUAAAAAACUUCAGUUCGGGACAUAUCAAUGUGAUGGUCCGGAAAGCUGAUCAAAGCUCUCCUGAAUGGAGAUUUACUGGGUUCUAUGGAGCCCCGCGGAGUGAGGACAGACAUCAUAGCUGGUGGUGUCUCCGCACACUACAUGCCAUCCAACAUCAGCCAUGGUUGUGUGUGGGGGAUUUCAAUGAAACUUGGUAG